GAACAAUCUGAGGACAGCUUCCCUAACUUCGACUUAUCCCUGGGGAUUUUCCUCAUGUUAAGAGUGCAUGGAAGAGCUCGGGGAUUCUCCCUCCUGCAGCCCAUGAAUCUGUGUUGCCCUGUAACCUAACUUUGAGCCAUCCCUCCCAAAAGCGUUAUUAAAAAUUGUGUUGCCUUUCAAAUCUUGUCCUCCGAUGGCGUCUUUGCAUGGGUUAUGUUAGGAAGAGUGGGUAACAGAUCUAAAAAUCUGACUAUCUAUGAUCAGAUUUAUUGAGGAGACAGGCAACAAGCAUCAAAAGCCUCCCUCUGUCUAUAGAACAAGGACCCAAGUAAACCUGCCUUAUAAACAUGUGAACAGAAAUUAGAUUUAUCUAGCUUUGGUAAAGUCUGGCUAUUUAAACUUGAAACAGUCUAAAAUCACUGAUAUCAAACUGACUGACAUUGGUACAGAAAGGUUCUUUAGCUGCUUCAUCACCACUUGAUGAUUUAUUAUAGGUAGACAAAAAAAAAAUCUGCUUCCUUGUGGGCUAAUUUGGGAAGGAAAAAGGAUGCUUUUUCCGGGGGCCCGACCUCCGUCUGUCUUCUUCCUUUCUUCUCCCUGACUACCCGGCAGCCAGCCCCUCACUUCUGCGUUUUCGGGGCGCCUUCAACCGUUCCACCUCUUGGCUCGGCCUCUGAGCUGGGAAUCUCUCUGCCUGGCUCUGCUCCAAAGCGCUCUCGUAGGGGUCCUCAAACCACCUUUCUUCCUCAUGGCUCCUCUCCAGCUCCAAGGCCGGUCCAGGGCUCCCUCGAGCCAGGCUCCUCUGCAGGACUUUGGGCUUUCCUUCUUUGGCACUCCUGCCCCCCUGGAGCUCCCCAAAGGCACUGAGGAUGUUCAGAUGGCCCUGACUCCUGGGAGAAGCUUUGGAGGGGGACGAGCGGAGGGGCUCUGUCUUCUGCUCUCUAUCAUCCAUGCUGAUCUGAAUCUUGGGCCCAGAUUUUCUGCUGCUAGGGUAGCUCCGAUGGCCUACUUGGCGGUUACUGUUUAAUUCUCCUUUCAUCAGGCCAAAAAGUUUCUUAAAAGGAGAGAAACCAUGGUUUUCAUUCUUUUUGGAAAUGUGGGACUCACAUUCACAUCUCCACUGCAGUCAGCUGCUGGAUCGAUGGAAAUGGAUUUUUUUUCAGUUAAAUUUGUUUUUCUUUGGGUUCUUUCUUAUGUAAAGUUGAAAUUUUCCUUGCGAGAUGUUCUUCCACAAUAUCUGAAGCAUCAUCACACUUUCAAGGUCUAUAUGCAUUUAUUUGUCUGGGUGGCACGUCAGUGAGAAUGGUCUUGUAUUCUUUUUUCCAGCAUAUUCUAUAGGGAUAUUGCUGAAAGAAUGGUACUGUUCUGUAUUGGGGGGAAAAAAAAACAACACAAGGGCAGUUUGAAAACAUUUUCUUGGAAUAUUAUUACUAGUAAUUGAUAUUUCAAAGGAAAAUGAAGAACUUCCCUCCAAUUAUUGUUUUUUAAGUCUAUAAUUGAAUUCUUUAAAACAAUCUGUUACCUUCCUCCCCCCUUUUUUAAACCUUCUAAACACGUACAUACACGUAUACAGCAUCCUAAGGAAUAAUUUCCUGUUUAUACUGAGGUCUUCUUAUACAUGCGAUUUGUACACAAUGUACACAGAACAUGUAUACGUGUAAAAACUGGUGAGGACCCUGUGUAGCUUCAUAACCGGGCUGGCGAAUGAAUCGGCUUCACAGAAAACCAACAAAAUCCAGGACUUUAAGAUGCCAGCCAAGAAAACAUCUCAUGAGUGUCUGACAAAAUGCCUGAAGUCUUUUCCAAGUUCAGUGUGAAAGCGCAUAUCGCAAAUGUCAGCAAUGACGUGAAAACUGUCCAUCGGCUGAGCCUCCAAGUACGGGAGGCCUCUAGAAACAUUACUUGCAUGCGCUUCGGUUUGGGCUCUGAUUAGUUGGCUGCUCGCCUUCACGUUGAAGGCCGUGUCCAUCACAUUCAGCUCUGAAAAGGAUAAGAGGGUUUCAUAAUGAUUUUAAAAGCAUUAUCCCUAAGAAGCCCGGCACCCGGCUAAGUACCCGGUGACUGCGCAACUGUUAAGCUUUGAAAAUCGGCGCUUCCUCUUGUUUCACCCCCGGAAUGAUGUUCGCCUUUUCCUUUCCGCCCGGACCCCGAAGGCACGGAUGUGAUUUUAGCCGUUUAAUAAGGGAGCCCCUGGUUUGGGCCCCGAUCCUGUGCAAAGGAAGAUGGGGAAGGUCCCCGGCUACAAGCAGGGGUGGUUCAGGCCGGGGGGGAGGGGGAGGGGGGUCUGUAAGGAGCCCUUCGCUGGGCAGCUUCGCCAUCGCAAAGCGCAACCCACAGCAAGUCAAACGCUGCUCGGAAAACCUCUUCCGUGGAGGCGGCGGCGCCUGGGACCAGUCCCUGAGAAGGGAGGAGGCGGGCGGGAGACACAUCCGUCCUUAUCCGCGGUAGGAAAGAGACUCGCGUUACCCCCCCCCCCCACCACCCCCCCCCCCCGGCCAGGGGCCUCCGCAAGCGGUGAAAAGGAGCGCGCCCACAGACACCCCACACACACACACCCCCCCCCGGGGCUUGGCGCAGAGUUCGGAGGGCCCAUUCCCCCCCCUCCCCCAGCCAGGCGUCACAACAGGGCCGAGCACCGGGGCCCCAGGGCAGCCUCGCGGGCCGGGAGCCGCUGCCCCCUCCCCGGCCCGAUGCUCCGCCAGCUUUCUUCUCAAUAUGAACAGGCUGCCAGCGCCCCCGCCCCUCCCCAGCACGUUAUCAAAUGGGAGGGGGGGGAAGGGGGCAAAGCCCUAGUCAGUUUUAAGGAGGAGCCGCGCUUCGCCCCCGGUUCCUCAUUAACCGCCCCCCGGGGGGAGGGGAGCAGGCAAGAACCCCCCCUUCCCACGGGAGCGCCCUACUUUCUUGGGUCCCCAUCUACCGAACUUCAGUCUCCCUCCUUCCGCCUUCUUAGAAACCAAAGACUUUGAUUGGUCAGGGGGCGGAGUCCCUCCCUCUAAGGCCCAAUGACCAGAGGCGGAGGCGGGGCUCGAGGCCGUUGAAGUGGAGAAGCG
ensembl:lncRNA